AGGGCCUUAGCGUAAUUAAAGCGUUUGCAUUGCAGUCAGAUGAUGUAGUAUAGAGUCUACAGGUCUU
rnacentral:tRNA from 1 species